rnacentral:rRNA from 1 species
GGGGGACCAUCCUCCAAGGCUAAAUACUCCUGACUGACCGAUAGUGAACCAGUACCGUGAGGGAAAGGCGAAAAGAACCCCGGCGAGGGGAGUGAAAAAGAACCUGAAACCGUGUACGUACAAGCAGUGGGAGCACGCUUAGGCGUGUGACUGCGUACCUUUUGUAUAAUGGGUCAGCGACUUAUAUUCUGUAGCAAGGUUAACCGAAUAGGGGAGCCGAAGGGAAACCGAGUCUUAACUGGGCGUUAAGUUGCAGGGUAUAGACCCGAAACCCGGUGAUCUAGCCAUGGGCAGGUUGAAGGUUGGGUAACACUAACUGGAGGACCGAACCGACUAAUGUUGAAAAAUUAGCGGAUGACUUGUGGCUGGGGGUGAAAGGCCAAUCAAACCGGGAGAUAGCUGGUUCUCCCCGAAAGCUAUUUAGGUAGCGCCUCGUGAAUUCAUCUCCGGGGGUAGAGCACUGUUUCGGCAAGGGGGUCAUCCCGACUUACCAACCCGAUGCAAACUGCGAAUACCGGAGAAUGUUAUCACGGGAGACACACGGCGGGUGCUAACGUCCGUCGUGAAGAGGGAAACAACCCAGACCGCCAGCUAAGGUCCCAAAGUCAUGGUUAAGUGGGAAACGAUGUGGGAAGGCCCAGACAGCCAGGAUGUUGGCUUAGAAGCAGCCAUCAUUUAAAGAAAGCGUAAUAGCUCACUGGUCGAGUCGGCCUGCGCGGAAGAUGUAACGGGGCUAAACCAUGCACCGAAGCUGCGGCAGCGACGCUGAUGCGUUGUUGGGUAGGGGAGCGUUCUGUAAGCCUGUGAAGGUGUGCUGUGAGGCAUGCUGGAGGUAUCAGAAGUGCGAAUGCUGACAUAAGUAACGAUAAAGCGGGUGAAAAGCCCGCUCGCCGGAAGACCAAGGGUUCCUGUCCAACGUUAAUCGGGGCAGGGUGAGUCGACCCCUAAGGCGAGGCCGAAAGGCGUAGUCGAUGGGAAACAGGUUAAUAUUCCUGUACUUGGUGUUACUGCGAAGGGGGGACGGAGAAGGCUAUGUUGGCCGGGCGACGGUUGUCCCGGUUUAAGCGUGUAGGCUGGUUUUCCAGGCAAAUCCGGAAAAUCAAGGCUGAGGCGUGAUGACGAGGCACUACGGUGCUGAAGCAACAAAUGCCCUGCUUCCAGGAAAAGCCUCUAAGCAUCAGGUAACAUCAAAUCGUACCCCAAACCGACACAGGUGGUCAGGUAGAGAAUACCAAGGCGCUUGAGAGAACUCGGGUGAAGGAACUAGGCAAAAUGGUGCCGUAACUUCGGGAGAAGG